GUAAACAACUUUUUUGUGGCUGCCCUGUCACGCAUGCAUGCCCGGACUCUUUCGGCCUGUACAUUGGUGCGGAUUUGAUGCUUAUCAUUAUUUAUAGAAUUCAAUAUACAUGGCAACAGUGAAGGGUGAAGACAUCUAAUUACCUCCCAGCUCAAGGCGUAUGGCCUACUCAUAAAUUCUCUCAAGGAAUGAUGCUACAUUUGCAUAAUUUCCCGGAAUUAGUAAGACUUUGAAAGAAAAAAAGUGCUGGUUUCAACUUGCCCCUGUCUUAAUUAAGAAGUCUACUGUUUGCCCUUUAUUACCAUAUGUGAAACAGUAAUCCGUUUCAAGGAAUUGCAUCUUCAUCAAGAUGUAUGAUCUGGACAAUCAAGUAAUUUUCUGAAGAAGCAUACACGUACACAUGCAGAUAACGAGGAGAUCCAAAAGCGUGAUUAAGAUUGUGACGCAAACAGCUGUUAUGAAAGGAAAAUCUGAUUGGAAAAUUUUGUUUGCUCCUGAUUUAUAAUUGGAUUAUUGGUCUGUGAACGUAAUGAUUAUCCAGAUGAUCUUCAGCAAAUGCAAGUUGAAAUCAGUUUGUAUUCUCAGAAUCUGAAGUGCUGAGUAAGUUUUAUAUACUGUAUUAAAGUCAGGAAACAUCUUCAUCAUAUCAUUUGUUAGGCUGAUCUGAAGCGUUAUAUCUACCCUUGGCAAAGAUAACUGCAUGGAUGCAAAGAAAUCCUAUAUCUGUCAAUAUGGCACCAUCUGAUCUAUGAAAUUCUGUUUUGACUGAGAAUGCUGGAAUCUAUAAGAAUCAAUCCACUUUACAGGUAUCACUUUGCUGCAGUCAGAGACCAAUAAAACUCAAGUUUAACGUGAUACACCAACAAUGCCGCCAUCCUCUGGAGAACUAUGGGGCUCACACCUGAUGCCCUCCAAGAUCCGUGUGGAAUGUCUCCUACCAAACGGGAUCCUGGUGCCCAUGGAAUGUGUGCGUGAAGCUACCUUGGAGAAGGUUAAAGCCAUGCUGUGGAGAGAAGCCUUCAAGUAUCCUCUGGCUCACCUCCUAGGGGAAGCAUCCUCCUACAUCUUUGUCAGCAUCACCCAGGAUGCGGAGAAGGAGGAGUUCUAUGAUGAGGGGCGGAGACUCUGUGAUCUAAGGCUGUUCCAACCAUGGCUGAAGGUUGUAGAGCCGGCAGGAAACAGAGAAGAGAAGAUGCUCAAUUAUGAAAUAGGAGCGGCCAUUGGCGUCCCAAUCAACGAGUUUGACUCCAUCAAAGAUCCUCAGGUGGUCCACUUUAGACGUAACAUUCUAACAACAUGUAUGAAUGUAGUAGAGGAGCGUGAAGAACAUGGUAAGAUGGGUCAAGCACUCUAUGCCUAUCCACCAAACCUUGAAGCAUCGGAGAUUCUACCAAAUCAUAUCCUACAGAAACUAGAAACAGGUGAGACAUUGAAACAGAUUAGCUUAUAUCAAAGGUUAAAGGUCAAUUAAAGGUAGAGAAAAAAAAAGAGAUUCUACCUAAUCAUAUCCUACAGAAACUAGAAACAGGUGAGACAUUGAAACAGGUUAGCUUAUAUCAAAGGUUAAAGGUCAAUUAAAGGUAG